UACGGGGGGGGCAAGCGUUGUUCGGAAUUACUAGGCGUAAAGGGCUCGUAGGUGGCCAACUAAGUCAGACGUGAAAUCCCUCGGCUUAACCGGGGAACUGCGUCUGAUACUGGAUGGCUUGAGUUUGGGAGAGGGACGCGGAAUUCCAGGUGUAGCGGUGAAAUGCGUAGAUAUCUGGAGGAACACCGGUGGCGAAGGCGGCGUCCUGGACCAACACUGACACUGAUGAGCGAAAGCCAGGGGAGCAAACGGG
rnacentral:rRNA from 1 species